rnacentral:lncRNA from 12 species
GAGACCCGAGGCCCUCCCCACCUGACUCCAGCCUGCAGACCCCACACACCACCCCAUGCUCUGGUUCCCAGGCCCGGGUGCUCGUCUUCGGCACCUUUGCCCUUUGUUUUCCUUGGCACUGGUCUUCACCGUGUGCCUGCACCCCUGCUUUGCCCACACUCUCCGCCUCCAUCCCUAACUCCAGAGUCUCUCCCUCCCUAGCUCUCUAGCUCUCCUCCCCCUCCUCACUGUCCUUAUCAUAUUUGACCUUUUGUUCAUCUUCCACGUUAGCGUAAAGCUUCUCAAGACGGAGCUUUCCUCGUCUGUGUACUUCCCCUUGAAGUGACAGUGGUGACAACUGAGAGAGGUGCUGGCAUCUGUCACACAGCCCUGUCUUCUCGGUGGGGAGUUGUGAGGGGAGACGGGCACGUCCACGCCGAGCUUCAGAAGAGUGAACCCCAAGCUCCUCAGCCUCAUGUUCCGUGGGCAUGAGUGCCGGGGACGCUGGGAGCCACGCUGGAUGCCCCAUUGCUGUGUCCUCUUCGUGACAAACAGACCACCGAGCCAUGGCGAGCCCUGAGGCAGCCUGUCAUGCUGCGGGCGGACGGCUUCGUAGAAAUCAGGGGCAGCGGAACCAGGCCUCACAGCCCGUGUCUGGAGCAGAGCCUGGGCUCCCUCGUAGCAAAGUGGGACGGCACGUUCCAAACGAAGGACCCAAACUGGAUCACCCGUCGCAUGGGACGAGAGUGGAGGACGACCGUGUGUACCUGUGCGCAGGCUCGUUUUAUUCCAGCCACCAUCCCCUUUGCCUCGCAACCACGAAAAUGGGGAAGAACAUUGUGACACAACGAUCUUCAGCUUUCUCGUACAACAGUGGUAAGCACUGAAUCCGCGGCUUCCUCUCGCAGUAUUUGGACGCCGAGGCCCGCGGCACAUGUGACCAGCCCACGGCAACACGGAUGACCUGACCUCCAACCGAAGAAAACCACCUAUUCGAACCACCGUUCCCCUCAUUUCAUUUUCCUAUUUGAGUGUCGCCGACACACGUCACACCAGUUUCAGGUGCACGACAUAGUGAUUCAGCACUUCUAUGUGCUGUGCUCCCCCUAUUUUUAAA